UUGUGUCACAGAUACGCAGGCUUCCUGCGGGUGGCGCUGUCGGACCCUCAGCCCGAGAGGAGGUUCUUCAGGCGCUGCUGGGUGACCUUUGACCGCAGCGUGAACAUCAAGGAGACGUGCUGGAACCUGCAGAACAUCCGGCUCAGAGACUGUGAACUCGCUCCGGUGGUGAACAGAGAUCUGUGCCGGCGGGUUCGCAGCGUCAACGGU